UGGGGAAUAUUGGACAAUGGGGGGAACCCUGAUCCAGCCAUGCCGCGUGUGUGAAGAAGGCCUUAUGGUUGUAAAGCACUUUAAGCAGUGAAGAAUACAUCAUGGCUAAUAUCCGUGAUGAAUGACAUUAGCUGCAGAAUAAGCACCGGCUAACUCUGUGCCAGCAGCCGCGGUAAUACAGAGGGUGCGAGCGUUAAUCGGAAUUACUGGGCGUAAAGCGAGCGUAGGUGGUUUAUUAAGUCAGAUGUGAAAUCCCUGGGCUUAACCUAGGAACUGCAUCUGAUACUGACAAACUAGAGUAGGUGAGAGGAAAGUAGAAUUCCAGGUGUAGCGGUGAAAUGCGUAGAGAUCUGGAGGAAUACCGAUGGCGAAGGCAGCUUUCUGGCAUCAUACUGACACUGAGGUUCGAAAGCGUGGGUAGCAAACAGGAUUAGAUACCCUGGUAGUCCACGCCGUAAACGGUGUCUACCAGUCGUUGGGUCUUUUAAAGACUUAGUGACGCAGUUAACGCGAUAAGUAGACCGCCUGGGGAGUACGGCCGCAAGGUUA
rnacentral:rRNA from 1 species